AGGACUGAGAUUGCAAGGAGGGUUGAAGUCGACCCAUUUUAUCAAUCGGGUCCAGCCACUCAUCAUGCAUGACUCCUGGCUGCAUAUUAACAGCUGUGUGCCACGGUGCAGCUGUGGACCGGCACCACAGAUGGUGCUGAAUACUGGAUGAGAUGGUGGAGCUGCAUGAUGGAAGCCGCCUGGACGAGGUUAGAUCAGGUUAGGUUGGCGGUUCAUGACCCCAGUUAGCAGUCGCUCUCUUCCUGUGAUUUGUUUCUGCAAAAAUCCAUUCUGGUUUGUUA